rnacentral:rRNA from 1 species
CGUGGUAAUGCCGGAUGUUCCACAUGAUCGCAUGUGAUUGUGGGAAAGAUUCUAUCGGCGUGGGAUGGGGUCGCGUCCUAUCAGCUUGUUGGUGAGGUAACGGCUCACCAAGGCUUCGACGGGUAGCCGGCCUGAGAGGGCGACCGGCCACAUUGGGACUGAGAUACGGCCCAGACUCCUACGGGAGGCAGCAGUGGGGAAUAUUGCACAAUGGGCGCAAGCCUGAUGCAGCGACGCCGCGUGAGGGAUGGAGGCCUUCGGGUUGUAAACCUCUUUUGUUUGGGAGCAAGCCUUCGGGUGAGUGUACCUUUCGAAUAAGCGCCGGCUAACUACGUGCCAGCAGCCGCGGUAAUACGUAGGGCGCAAGCGUUAUCCGGAUUUAUUGGGCGUAAAGGGCUCGUAGGCGGCUCGUCGCGUCCGGUGUGAAAGUCCAUCGCUUAACGGUGGAUCUGCGCCGGGUACGGGCGGGCUGGAGUGCGGUAGGGGAGACUGGAAUUCCCGGUGUAACGGUGGAAUGUGUAGAUUCGAAAAAAAAAA